rnacentral:tRNA from 1 species
GCCUCAGUGGCUUAGGCUCUUUGUGGUAUAGCGCCUGUCUCGUAAACAGGAGGUCGUGGGUUCAACUCCCACCUGAGGCU